GAUGAACGCUGGCGGCGUGCCUAAUACAUGCGAGUCGAGCGAACAGACGAGGAGCUUGCUCCUCUGACGUUAGCGGCGGACGGGUGAGUAACACGUGGAUAACCUACCUAUAAGACUGGGAUAACUUCGGGAAACCGGAGCUAAUACCGGAUAAUAUAUUGAACCGCAUGGUUCAAUAGUGAAAGACGGUUUUGCUGUCACUUAUAGAUGGAUCCGCGCCGCAUUAGCUAGUUGGUAAGGUAACGGCUUACCAAGGCAACGAUGCGUAGCCGACCUGAGAGGGUGAUCGGCCACACUGGAACUGAGACACGGUCCAGACUCCUACGGGAGGCAGCAGUAGGGAAUCUUCCGCAAUGGGCGAAAGCUUGACGGAGCAACGCCGCGUGAGAGAUGAAGGUCUUCGGAUCGUAAAACUCUGUUAUUAGGGAAGAACAAAUGUGUAAGUAACUAUGCACGUCUUGACGGUACCUAAUCAGAAAGCCACGGCUAACUACGUG
rnacentral:rRNA from 1 species